AGUGAACGCUGGCGGUAGGCCUAACACAUGCAAGUCGAACGGCAGCACAGUAAGAGCUUGCUCUUACGGGUGGCGAGUGGCGGACGGGUGAGGAAUACAUCGGAAUCUACUUUUUCGUGGGGGAUAACGUAGGGAAACUUACGCUAAAACCGCAUACGACCUACGGGUGAAAGCAGGGGAUCUUCGGACCUUGCGCGAUUGAAUGAGCCGAUGUCGGAUUAGCUAGUUGGCGGGGUAAAGGCCCACCAAGGCGACGAUCCGUAGCUGGUCUGAGAGGAUGAUCAGCCACACUGGAACUGAGACACGGUCCAGACUCCUACGGGAGGCAGCAGUGGGGAAUAUUGGACAAUGGGCGCAAGCCUGAUCCAGCCAUACCGCGUGGGUGAAGAAGGCCUUCGGGUUGUAAAGCCCUUUUGUUGGGAAAGAAAAGCAGCAGGUUAAUACCCCGCUGUUCUGACGGUACCCAAAGAAUAAGCACCGGCGAACUUCGU
rnacentral:rRNA from 1 species